rnacentral:rRNA from 1 species
UGCCAGCCGCCGCGGUAAUACGGAGGGUGCAAGCGUUGUUCGGAAUUAUUGGGCGUAAAGCGCGUGUAGGCGGUUCGUUAAGUCUGAUGUGAAAGCCCGGGGCUCAACCCCGGAAGUGCAUUGGAAACUGGCGAACUUGAGUACGGGAGAGGAAAGUGGAAUUCCGAGUGUAGGGGUGAAAUCCGUAGAUAUCAGGAAGAACACCCGUGGCGAAGGCGGUUAGCUGGGCCGAAUCUGACACUCAUCCGCGAAAGCGUGGGGAGCAAACAGGAUUAGAUA